CGGGAGGCAGCAGUGGGGAAUAUUGCACAAUGAGGGAAACCUUGAUGCAGCCAUGCCGCGUGUGUGAAGAAGGCCCGAGGGUUGUAAAGCACUUUCAAUUGUGAGGAAAGGUUAGUCGCUAAUAUCGGCUAGCUGUGACGUUAACUUUAGAAGAAGCACCGGCUAACUCUGUGCCAGCAGCCGCGGUAAUACAGAGGGUGCAAGCGUUAUUCGGAAUUACUGGGCGUAAAGCGCGCGUAGGCGGACUGUUAAGUCGGUUGUGAAAGCCCUGGGCUCAACCUAGGAAUUGCAUCCGAUACUGGCAAUCUAGAGUUUAGGAGAGGGAAGUGGAAUUCCUGGUGUAGCAGUGAAAUGCGUAGAUAUCAGGAGGAACAUCAGUGGCGAAGGCGACUUCCUGGCCUAAAACUGACGCUGAGGUGCGAAAGCGUGGGUAGCGAACGGGAUUAGAUACCCCGGUAGUCCACGCCGUAAACGAUGUCAACUAGCUGUUGGCCUUAUUAAAAAGGUUAGUAGCGUAGCUAACGCGCUAAGUUGACCGCCUGGGGAGUACGG
rnacentral:rRNA from 1 species